rnacentral:tRNA from 1 species
GAGGGUAUAGCUCAGUGGUAGAGCACAUGCUUAGCGUGCACGAGGUCCUGGGUUCAAUCCCCAGUACCUCCA